GUCAGGAUGGCCUAACGGUCUAAGGCGCCAGACUCAAGUUCUGGUCUCCACUUGGAGGCGUAGGUUCGAAUCCCACCCCUGACA
rnacentral:tRNA from 1 species